UACGGAGGAUGCAAGCGUUAUCCGGAAUCAUUGGGCGUAAAGCGUUCGUAGGUGGCUGUGCAAGUCUGCCGUUAAAGACAGUGGCUUAACCACUGAAAGGCGGUGGAAACUGCGCAGCUAGAGUGCGGUAGGGGGUAGAGGGAAUUCCCGGGUGUAGCGGUGAAAUGCGUAGAGAUCGGGAAGAACACCAGUGGCGAAAGCGCUCUACUGGGCCUGCACUGACACUGAGGGACGAAAGCGUGGGGAGCAA
rnacentral:rRNA from 1 species